AUUGAACGCUGGCGGCAGGCCUAACACAUGCAAGUCGAGCGGAGCGGCGGACGGGUGAGUAAUGCCUAGGAAUCUGCCUGGUAUUGGGGGUUAACGUCCGGAAACGGGCGCUAAUACCGCAUCCUAUUCGAUGAGCCUAGGUCGGAUUAGCUAGUUGGUGGGGUAAAGGCCUACCAGGGCGACGAUCCGUAACUGGUCUGAGAGGAUGAUCGGUCACACUGGAACGGAUACACGGUCCAGACUCCUGCGGGAGGCAGCAGUGGGGAAUAUUGGACAAUGGGCGAAAGCCUGAUCCAGCCAUGCCGCGUGUGUGAAGAAGGUCUUCGGAUUGUAAAGCACUUUAAGUUGGGAGGCGUUACCAACAGAAUAAGCACCGGCUAACUUCGUGCCAGCAGCCGCGGUAAUUC
rnacentral:rRNA from 1 species